UACGAAGGGGGCUAGCGUUGCUCGGAAUCACUGGGCGUAAAGGGUGCGUAGGCGGGUCUUUAAGUCAGGGGUGAAAUCCUGGAGCUCAACUCCAGAACUGCCUUUGAUACUGGCGACCUUGAGUCCGGGAGAGGUGAGUGGAACUGCGAGUGUAGAGGUGAAAUUCGUAGAUAUUCGCAAGAACACCAGUGGCGAAGGCGGCUCACUGGCCCGAUACUGACGCUGAGGCACGAAAGCGUGGGGAGCAAACAGG
rnacentral:rRNA from 1 species